rnacentral:misc_RNA from 1 species
UUUCCGUAGGUGAACCUGCGGAAGGAUCAUUACCGAGUAAGGGUCUUCAUGGCCCGACCUCCCACCCUUUGUUGUCGAACAAAAAUUGUACUGCCUUGACGGGGCUGCUACCUGGUCUUGCACCAGGAAAGCGUCCGUCAGGGUAUACCUUUAAAACACUUUGUUAAAACCUUUGUCUGAGUCUAAUGAUAAAUUAUCAAAACUUUCAACAACGGAUCUCUUGGUUCUGGCAUCGAUGAAGAACGCAGC